GUACACUCCUGCGGGAGGCAGCAGUGGGGAAUAUUGGACAAUGGGCGCAAGCCUGAUCCAGCCAUGCCGCGUGAGUGAUGAAGGCCCUAGGGUUGUAAAGCUCUUUCACCGGAGAAGAUAAUGACGGUAUCCGGAGAAGAAGCCCCGGCUAACUUCGUGCCAGCAGCCGCGGUAAUACGAAGGGGGCUAGCGUUGUUCGGAAUUACUGGGCGUAAAGCGCACGUAGGCGGAUCGAUCAGUCAGGGGUGAAAUCCCAGGGCUCAACCCUGGAACUGCCUUUGAUACUGUCGAUCUGGAGUAUGGAAGAGGUGAGUGGAAUUCCGAGUGUAGAGGUGAAAUUCGUAGAUAUUCGGAGGAACACCAGUGGCGAAGGCGGCUCACUGGUCCAUUACUGACGCUGAGGUGCGAAAGCGUGGGGAGCAAACAGGAUUAGAUACCCCAGUAGUCCC
rnacentral:rRNA from 1 species